CGGAGCCACCGCCCGGCCAGGUAGGGCAGCCGCCCGGGCUCGACCGCCUCGAAUCACUUCCAUGAAACUCUUCUCUCCCUCAACACAAUGAACAACGACAACUCUUUUUCACUCUUCACGGGAUCCAUUGAGUUCGAAGGAGUUUGUUUAAUUAGCGUCAUAUCUUCUUCUUCAAAAUUUAUACCCACAGUAAGCAUUGCAUAUUGCUUAUUUCUUAUUUCUGUUGAUUGUAUUCAUCCCCCCAAGUGUUUGAUGAAUUGCUUGAUUAUACUAUGUUUGUAAUUGAUUAUUUUUGUUUAUACAUUGGUCAUGGCAUUGGUAUCGAAUUGUUAUCGUUACCACCGUUUUGCAACUUGCACACCAAGUGUUCGGAAAGAAAGAAGUAUUAAAACAAACUCUUUUAUUCUGGAGUCAUAUCCGCCAUGUGAUAAUGUCGAGAUUUUGAAGCAAGCUCUUUUAAUAAACAAAGUGAGUUACAACUUACAAGUUACAAGGUUGGAUUUAUUUGUGUUUCAGCUCACACCAACUAGAAACGGGUAACAUUUAUCAGUGAUAGUUAGGGACUUGAUAAAGUGCUUAAUUUUCUUCUAGUGUAGCUAAAGUUCAGACAUAAUAUUGUAUCAGUUUAUUAGGUGAGCAAUUGUUAGUUGUGCUGAAAAUAUCCUUGAAAUAGGAUAUGAUGUAUUUCUCUGAUUGAUCAGGGUCUUCAUUGUUAUAUGUUGUCUACCAAAUGAUGAAUGUGAUGUGCCUCUGAUGUGGCUUGUGCAGCGUUUAUAUUUAUGUUCCAGAUCUGAAGUGCAUCUUAUAGUCUUCUCAAUUUAUGCUGAAUUUUGGUCAAUGGGGUUCUUCUAGCAGGUAGGGUCCAAUUUAUAUCUAUCACUAAUAUAGUCCUCAUGGUUAUACUGGGUUUUAAACAAUUUGAUAGAAAAUUGACAUAUGUGCUAUCUGAUUUACUGGCUGACAAAUAUAGGGUGAUUAUGAGAUCAAUUCUGUUGGUCAUAUAUCCUUUGGUAACUAGUUAUAGAAAUAGAGUUUAAAAAAUGAGAAAAGUUACUGAAGGAACUAUAUUUUGUUUUUACAUAUGCUAUGAUUUUUAUGUCACUUAUUAAUCUCUUCCUAUGGGUUAAUUGAUUAAGUGAUUUUGUGCUCCUAUGUAAAUUAUAUGAUUGGUUAUUACUGUGAAUGGAAAGAAGAAGAGGUUUGUUUAACCUCUUUCAAUGCUGAUAAAUGUAUUGAUUACAUUCAUGAGACAAAUGUAUUUAGUUUCCUCUUUCUUGCAUUUGCAUGUGGUUUGGAUUAUAAACCGGUAAGAGGAGACUGUUGGGUUCACACAAAAAUAUAUAGAAUGUGAAUUUGCGGUGUUUAAAUUUUGAUUGAUAACUAUUUAUAUAUUAUAUAC